ACGGGUGAGUAACGCGUGGGUAACCUACCCUGUACACACGGAUAACAUACCGAAAGGUAUGCUAAUACGGGAUAAUAUAUUUGAGAGGCAUCUCUUAAAUAUCAAAGGUGAGCCAGUACAGGAUGGACCCGCGUCUGAUUAGCUAGUUGGUAAGGUAACGGCUUACCAAGGCGACGAUCAGUAGCCGACCUGAGAGGGUGAUCGGCCACAUUGGAACUGAGACACGGUCCAAACUCCUACGGGAGGCAGCAGUGGGGAGUAUUGCACAAUGGGCGAAAGCCUGAUGCAGCAACGCCGCGUGAGUGAUGAAGGCCUUCGGGUCGUAAAACUCUGUCCUCAAGGAAGAUAAUGACGGUACUUGAGGAGGAAGCCCCGGCUAACUACGUGCCAGCAGCCGCGGUAAUACGUAGGGGGCUAGCGUUAUCCGGAUUUACUGGGCGUAAAGGGUGCGUAGGCGGUCUUUCAAGUCAGGAGUGAAAGGCUACGGCUCAACCGUAGUAAGCUCUUGAAACUGGGAGACUUGAGUGCAGGAGAGGAGAGUGGAAUUCCUAGUGUAGCGGUGAAAUGCGUAGAUAUUAGGAGGAACACCAGUUGCGAAGGCGGCUCUCUGGACUGUAACUGACGCUGAGGCACGAAAGCGUGGGGAGCAAACAGGAUUAGAUACCCUGGUAGUCCACGCUGUAAACGAUGAGUACUAGGUGUCGGGGGUUACCCCCCUCGGUGCCGCAGCUAACG
rnacentral:rRNA from 1 species